AGAUUGAACGCUGGCGGCAUGCUUUACACAUGCAAGUCGAACGGUAACAGGCCGCAAGGUGCUGACGAGUGGCGAACGGGUGAGUAAUGCAUCGGAACGUGCCCAGUCGUGGGGGAUAACGCAGCGAAAGCUGUGCUAAUACCGCAUACGAUCUAUGGAUGAAAGCGGGGGACCGAAAGGCCUCGCGCGAUUGGAGCGGCCGAUGUCAGAUUAGCUAGUUGGUGGGGUAAA
rnacentral:rRNA from 1 species